GUUGCACGCAGUUCAGUAGCAUAUCCUAAAAGUGGAAUGGAACGAAGAUCAGCAUGGCCGCCGUGCAAGGAUGACACACACAUCUAUGAAGCGUUCCAUAUUUUU
ensembl:snRNA U6 U6 spliceosomal RNA